AUAACGACAAAUAUAUAAGAAAAGGGACGACUUAAACCUAAACCUCCAAACCAAAACCUAAACUUCUCCUCUACCUCAGCCUCCACUCUCCCUCUCCGUUUUCUUAUUCCCUUCUUCCACAGUAGUGGCGUUAAUUUAAAUCUGCAAGAAAGACAGAGUAGUAAGAGGGUAUUCCCGCUGCUUCUCAUUUAUGGACAAAAAUUUUAACUCGUGGGUUUGUCUCUUCUAUAUCGUAGAGUUUUUUAUUCUCCUUACACCUACUUGGAUUUGGGGUUUUAAGUUCAAUUUACGAGUUAUUUCAGCAAUUUGAUAGAUAUUAUGCCCUUUUUUUAUACGCAGUGAGUGCGAUUUUGAAUAUUUGAUAGGUUUUGUGCCUUACACCUAAUUGACUUGAGUUUCUGCUUCAAUUAUUUAUUUUUUUAUUUAUAGGGUGCUCAAGAGAAAAGUGCCUUUGAGAAAUUUCAAUCUCUUCCAAUGCCUAACUGUAAGUUUUACUUCUUUUUCAUCUCCUUAAGUUUUAUGAUGUUUAUUUA
rnacentral:lncRNA from 1 species